AAUGAACGCUGGCGGCGUGGAUUAGGCAUGCAAGUCGUACGAGGUUAAAUGAAGCUUGCUUUUUUUAACCUAGUGGCGAAAGGGUGAGUAAUGCCUGAACAAUCUACCCCACUGAUGGGGACAAGCCAUCGAAAGAUGGUCUAAUACCCAAUGAUGUCGGAGCAUCGCAUGGUGCACCGAUCAAAGACGGCCAAUGCUUGCAUGCUGUCGCAGUAGGAGGGGUUCAGGUGCUAUUAGCUUGUUGGUGAGGUAACGGCUCACCAAGGCGAUGAUGGCUAGGCGAACUGAGAGGUUGACCGCCCACACUGGGACUGAGACACUGCCCAG
rnacentral:rRNA from 1 species